rnacentral:lncRNA from 1 species
UUUCAUUUUAAGUUAGAUGAGACAAAAUUUGAAUCCACAUGAUACAAGGGUUUAUUUGAAGAGAAAGAAUUGAAUAGUUAUAAUUUUAAUAUAGACAGAGCUCAUGGGGAGGUUUAGAAAAUCCUGUAGAAAAUGUUGCAGUAUCUUUAAUUCAAAUCUUGCACCUGCUCCUAUUUUCAAAUUUACUACCAAGUACUAUUUGGCAAGCCACCGGAGCAUAUUGGGUUCCCAAAAUGUCACCAAUAUGUAAAAGUGACAAGAAAAAGUUUUGGUAUCAGGUGAAAAAUUACAAAAUGUCACCAAUAAAUUAAGGCCAUCGUCUGUGACCUAUCUUACAACAAUGCAUCUUUAUGCUCUUCUUCCACAAUGAUCUGGGAAAUUUGAUUGUUCUGAAGAUCAAUAAGCCCCAGUUGUAAACUGAUGCUAUCUCAAAUUGUUGGUAUGUGACCUUUUGAUGCCUUCUAUGUUUUUACAUGUAGAUGAGAAGGUUGUAGAUUGUUCCAAAAUGGUCAGCACAAUGUAAUAACCUUACGCUAUGAUUGAAUGCGAUGUAUAGGAAACAAAGAGGUAGAAGCAGCCAAUGGGGAUUGACAAGACCCACCCCGAAUUUCACCCUGAAACCCAGAGUAAGUCGUGCGGGGAUUACCUCCAAAGAAAAUUUACCGAAAAAUCGGCAUAACCUCCCUUGAAAAUGGACAACCCUUCCAAAUAAUACCUGCAAACACUUCUGAAAAUUUAAAUCCAACCUUAAACUCCUGGAGCCUCCGUGCUCCCCAAAUCACAACACCACCCAAAUUAUUUACUAAUCUAAACAAAUCUCAUAUCCAACCAUUUAUAGGUUCAGAGCAACUCUAACAGGAAGAAAGGAAACAUAAUAAAUUAACAAGCGGAAGCUAUAUGAUGACUAUGCCUCAUCUCCAUGUACGCCCGACCUUGACUAAGCUAACCUGCAAGCUGGGCAUUUUUAAAACGAAGGGCCCAGGGGAAAACAUUUGAAACACGUUAGAGUGAGUGGACAAAAAUAAAUUAACAAAUAAAAUAUUUAUGUUUCCCCAAAUCAAUUUCCAAGGAAAAUCGAAUGCAUGCUGCAAGCGAUAAAACUUUUUAUCUCAUAAAUAUCGAGCCUCUCAAGCUCUAUAAAAUAUGUAUGUAUUACACACGUCCAUACUCCCUAUAUAAAUUCAUGGGUCUAUAUAGGGCUACUACGCUCGCGUCUAACGCUCACGUCACGCCUUAAUGCGGUGCUACACUACGCCAUUAAGGUGGACAGACGGGUGCAUAAAUAUGUGCCCAUACCCCCUAUAUGAAUUAAAUACUCAUAUAGGGCUACUACGCUCGCGUCCAACGCUCACGUCACACCAUAAUGCGGCUAUAUGCUAUGCCAUUAAGGUGGACAGACACAUAGGGCUAGCUAGCAUUUUUAUACAUACUCUCCUCAUAAAUACAUAUUUAUAUCACCGAAAAUCCCAUUUUCGGUAACUCUCCAAGAGAAAUAAAUCGUCAAAAUCAAAAUGACGUCAAAAUGCUCCAACAAUUUAAAUGUUCAACCAAAACCAUAGCAUGCAUAUUAUUCAAAACCAAAAGUCCACUCACAAAUCUAGGCAUAAGCCCGACGAAAUCCAAAUCGCCACUCCAGAGAGGUUUCCUCGAACCCUGGCACAAAUAUAAAAUUAAUUUCCCAACUAAAAAUCCAAUAUUUAAACAAAAUAGGCAAAAUUAACCGAGAGCCAUACUCACGCUCAUCAUUGCCUAACUUCGAUACGGUCCACACCUCAACACUAAAACCAGCAACCUUAGCUACACCCUUCCACAGAUUAUACGACUUUAAUCCAAGAGCCGGAUUCUAUCCUAUUAAUCCGCCAAAAUUACCAAACUUCGGAAAUUCACAAACCUAACCAAAACUCAUCCAAAAUUCCAUAAUUUACAUNNNNNNNNNNNNNNNNNNNNAAAAUUCCAUAAUUUACAUCAAUAUACUCCCCUUAAUAUUCCACAUUUAAAACUAUACAAACUCCCAAACAGCGGCGGCGGCGCCACCAGUUCCGCCGGCAGCGGCGGCCGGAGGCCGAUUCCGGCGACCUCCAAUGCUCACCAAAUUUAAACAGCAGCUUCCUCUCAACCUACUCUACAACUUUCUUAACUGGCACAACACCCAAUUUCAAGCCUAACUAUGCCAAUCGAACGAAAACAACACAAAAAGCCCUAGAGCUUCCACUCACCGGUUCUCCUUACCUAGACCAAGAGAGGACGUGCUCUUUGGAGGGGUUGCUGCACGGGAGGAGAGCUUUCUUUUGAGCCAAGAAUGGCCGGCUUUGGUGGCCGGAGGAGGGAGUUCCGGCGACCGGAAGUUCUGGGCAGUCAAACCUUUCGGGUGGCACCGCUCCCUCACGAUGGCGCUAGGGCUCCUCUCACCGGUCCAGGGAGGUUGUUGGGUUAGAAGUCGACCGAACGGGACCGGUGCGGCAGCGGUUGGUGGCCGGACGGCGGCGGACGAGCGGCCGGAAGCUUCGGCUGCGGGAAAACUCGGGGAUGAGGCCGGGAGGGAGAGAAGAAGAGAGAGGGAAAAGAAAUGGGUGUUUGGGCCUCACACCCACCCGGUCCAACACCAUAGAACAACCCACUCCAAAAUAAAACACCCCGAAAAAAUAAUACCCGAAAAAAAAUUACCUUUUACUAGCUAAAAUUUACCAUUUUUACCGUCGUCAUUUUUUCCUCCUACAAAUAAUCCUCCGCACAUAACCGUCCCCGAAACCCCUCUAGGGACCAAUUAAAACUAUAACCUCAAUGACGGAGACGGUAAAAUUCUUAUUAUAACCAAGCUAGUAAAUAAGGUAAAAAUUUACGGGUCAGGAUGUGACAAUUCUCCCCUCCUUAUAAAAAUUUCGCCCUCAAAAUUUACAUACCUGACAUUCGAAGAGAUAGGGAUACUGCUACCUCAUUUGCUCCUCUAAUUCCCAAGUAGCUUCCUCUACUUGAUGACUCCUCCACAGAACUUUAACAAGAGGAAAAAGAUUUGCUUCGAAGCACUAGCUCCUUUUGGUCAAGAAUCUGAAUCGGCUCCUCAUCAUAGGCCAAAACUUUUUCCAAUUAAUCGAUUGCUCUCGCAACACAUGAGAGAGAUCGGAAAUAAACUUGCGAAGCAUGGAUACAUGAAACCCAUUAUGUAUCUUGGAUAACUCCGGAGGCAAAACUAACCGAUACGCAAGAGAGCCAACUUGAUCUAAAAACUCAUAAGGACCAAUAAAUCUCAGACCAAGCUUUUCACACUACCAAAACGUACCACCCCUUUCCAAGGACACAAUUUCGAAAACACCCAAACACUCACUUGAAACUCAUGGUCCUUCCUGCGGACAUCUUUAUAACUCUUUUGGCUACUAAGAGCUGCUUUGAGUCUAUCUUUGAUUCCUUUAACCCUUUCAUUUCUCAAAGACUCUAAAUCCUUCGUUGAACUACCACUAACGUUUGCACGUAAGUGAGUUCAGUGAUACCUGCUCCAGAGUACGAGUACCCGUAGGUAUGCACACUCUUUCCUGAGCAAUGGAAAAAGUUAACCCAAAUAAAGCGCAUACAUUUGCUAUCACGAUCGGGCUCAAAUCUCCAAACAUCACGUAACAACCUCAUCAUUACGCUGCUCACAACUCGACGAUGAAGCCCAAUUGCUAGGAAACUAAAGUUCACGCAUUCCCACAUGCUCAUCAUAAGGGUCAAAAUUAAGACCCGCUAAUCAAACAGAUUUAAGGAUGCACACACUGCAGAACUGCAAGAAUCACUACCAAUACCGAGGCACUUUACGGAAUCAAAACUCACACAAUACCGCAAGACAACCCUCUUUUGCUUAAGCGAUUAGUCCAACAAGAGUUAAAACUCAAUUGUCGGAAUGAAAUUAUGAAGUGAUCAAUAACUACGUCACUUAUGUCUCUUCACCAAAACUAUUACAUUACCAUUUUGAGCACUAUGAGAAUUCAACUCUCUCCUAAUUCUGCUAUCUCCACUAUUCUCUUUACCACAAACCAGAAGAUAAUUUGAAACAUGACUAUCAUGUGGAAACUGGAUAUUCCUCCUUGCUCGCCAUAAGCAAAAACGAACUAAUUAUGCCCACGAAAAAAAUUGGCACAGCCAAUUCAUGAUGCCCAACUUGACGUUGAAAUCCACAUAAAUAGAGCACCUUCCUUAAGCAUUGACAAAAUUUACAUCUCCAGCUAUGCUACUUAUUCGGGUACAACCGCGACCCCAUAAUCAAUAAUUAAAAGCACACGGCUCACUCUAGCCGUUCUAGAAGAAUGAUUCUAAAUGCCAAGCCUUUGGACCCGACAAACACAUUUUUAUUUUUUUACCUCAAAUUACAAUUAAUCUGAUUAUAGAAGACGAUCUGAAAAUCAGAUACGCUCAAGUCUCCGACACCUCCCAGGGCCACGGCUUCCCACCAAAAAGAUUUUCUGAUAACCGAGCUUGCAGUACCAUGCAACUAUCAAAUGCCAAGAUAAAUUUUUAUACAAGACCCAUUACUAUACCUUGUGGUUCACCAACCAACGAAAACCAUGAAUUCAAGCAAGAAUCAAAACUCAUGGCUUAACUCAGCUCAAGUUCCAGAAGAAAUGACUUAAAGCACAUGAAAGGCAAGUCCUCUAACUUCGAGCUCAAAAGCUCCACAAAUCUCCAAUAUCCGUCAGAACCCGCUUCGAAAUUGCACUAGAAACCUCCACUAAUCAUGCUGACACCAACGGAUGAACGCACAACCAAAAAAACGAAGACCUCUCUAAUCAAACUUGGAUCAAUGAGUGGUCCCACCACAAUAUGAUCCUGAGAAGAGACGCUAAUCAACCUAUCAAUAAAUUUACUACUUUCAAUAUUAAAACUCUUAAUAAACCUUGACUCUAGACGCUUCUUGAGUCAACAUGGGAAAACCUUCCCCCAUAACGCUACAUCAUAAAAAAUACCUACAACGACACAAACCAUCUUUUCAACAUCACCACACGACUAGCAGACUACCACAUAGGACUUACGACUCCAAGAUUCAUUGCUUAAUUGAACUCCAGCUCAUUUGGGAUCACGACUGGAUUUAUUCCGGAUCCAUGACUACGACACAACUACCAAUUUAUCAUUUACCUCGAAACUUCGACAUAAUAACCAGAAUCUCUACCCUUCAAAUCGAAGCGUUGAAUUCGCAUUCCAUAAUUCAAGCUCUGAGGAUACUACCCAAAAACUACAGUAGGAAUAAUUUAAAUAUUCCCACACACACCAUAACCAAAACUUUACUCCAUCUCACCUAAUUAGAAAUAAGAUGAGAAUAGAUCCUCCCAUUGUUAUGUCGUAGUUAGUCACCCAUUGCGAACGAAAUGAUGUCAACAACCAACUUCGAUCACAAAUUUGAGACUUACAUCAACCACCCGGAAUGACACUGCUAAAAAAAAUACUUUGGACACCCACGCACUUUUGCUCUAUGAUCCAAUGGGUUUUAUUCCACUGCUACCACUUCCACCAACUCCACACAACUGCUAUAGAAUACCUAUGACAAUACGUAAUAAAUUCACCAGGUGUUGUCAUAAAACUGGAGUGACCACAACCAUCCCGCUCUCACUCCACCAUUACUUUUCAAUUCCAUUUACAUUAUCAUCUUUCCAAACACUCAACAAAUCUGGAAACCAAACUUCAACACCUGGAACUCCGAAAGAAUCCAUACUGGCCCCAUGAUUAAAAUAAUAUAACUGACAUCUCACUCUACGAUUCCAAACUUGCUUGAAACUCAAAACAUUUAGUGCCAUCAAUAAAAUUUAAAAUUCCCCGACUGUGGCACAACAAGAAGUUGUCACAACGCACUGACGAAUGACUUUUGUAAAACCAACAAUCCAAGUCAUUCUACUUAGUGCUUUAACAAACUUCAACUAACCCACAAUAGAGACCAAAAUCAUCAAAAAUCUUGUUAUUCAUCGACUACUAUUAUCCGUCAUUUUCAAAAAUAUACUUCCAUAAAUAAAGUUGUAGGAACCAGGAUAUGUGCUGACAUAACCAGCAUUAUCCCAAAUUGUUCCCACUGCUUUCUGUUGCGGAUAAAAAUAGUCGGUAAAUUGGCUUUAACUCAUGACUUAUCUAAAUUGACAUUUAACUUUUUAUGGAGCAAUGCCUUGCAACCCAAACACUAGCCACAAAUCUCACAAGACUAAUUCGCUCAAGCUUAGGUCCGCAAUAACUCAUAUAGGUACCCCAUUGAAUUACGCUUGGAUACCUCACCUCAUCAUUUCAACUAACUUUUACAUCAAUAGAAAACACCACUAUUUCAAACUUUCUUUCCAACUCGACUCUCUCAAAAGUCACAUAACUCAAUACCAAAAUAUACCAUCAAUCAAUUUUUGACUUCAAUCUUGCCCACUAAAAAUGGACAACUCCAAGGCAUUAAUCAUCAACAUUUCACCCAACAGAUUUGCACAAGAUGCUCACCUUAGCAUCUUAAUUUGAAAUCUUAAUCUUAACCCAAUCAAUCAUUGGAUACCUGAAAAGAAUGCUAACAAGCUUUUUCGUUCCCCACUCGCAAACUAACUCCAACCAUUAAUAUCAAAGAUAUUAAAUUAAUGAACCUUGGAAUAGGUGCAAACUAUACACCUUUUCAAAACUCGAAGGAUGAACACUCAAGAGGUCGAUGUACGGAGGCAUAGUCUUAGAGAUGUAGACAUUUAUGGCACACUACUGCCCAUAAAUAAAAGAAGAACAACUACAUCACAAACCUAAUCAACACAUAGUGUCUAAAGCAUAUAAUGCUAAUAGAUCCGCCGCGGUCGGACCGUCACUCUAUAGACACUAAGCAUGACCAAGAGUAUGAGGUAGUACUAAAAAGAGAAAAGAAAUGAAUAACCUAGUGCUCCGAUACCAACUGACAAGACCCACUCCGAAUUUCACCCUGAAACCCAGAGUAAGACGUGCGGGGACCACCUCCAAGAAAAAUUUACCGAAAAAUCGGCAUAACCUCCCUUGAAAAUGGACAACCCUUCCUAAUAAUACUUGCAAACACUUCUGAAAAUUUCAAUCCAACCUUAAACUCCUGCAGCCUCCGUGCUCCCCAAAUCACAACACCACCCAAAUUAUUUACUAAUCUAAACAAAUCUCAUAUCUAACCAUUUAUAGGUUCAGAGCAACUCUAACAGGAAGAAAGGAAACAUAAUAAAUUAACAAGCGGAAGCUAUAUGAUGACUAUGCCUCAUCUCCAUGUACGCCCGACCUUGACUAAGCUAACCUGCAAGCUGGGCAUUUUUAAAACGAAGGGCCCAGCGGAAAACAUUUGAAACACGUUAGAGUGAGUGGACAAAAAUAAAUUAACAAAUAAAAUAUUUAUGUUUCCGCAAAUCAAUUUCCAAGGAAAAUCGAAUGCAUGCUGCAAGCGAUAAAACUUUUAUCUCAUAAAUAUCGAGCCUCUCAGGCUCUAUAAAAUAUGUAUGUAUUACACACGUCCAUACUCCCUAUAUAAAUUCAUGGGUCAAUAUAGGGCUACUACACUCGCGUCCAACGCUCAAGUCACGCCUUAAUGCGGUGCUACACUACGCCAUUAAGGUGGACAGACGGGUGUAUAAAUAUGUGCUCAUACCCCCUAUAUGAAUUAAACACUCAUAUAGGGCUACUACGCUCGCGUCCAACGCUCACGUCACACCAUAAUGCGGCUAUAUGCUAUGCCAUUAAGGUGGACAGACACAUAGGGCUAGCUAGCAUUUUUAUACAUACUCUCCUCAUAAAUACAUAUUUAUAUCACCG